AUGGGUAAAGCUUCCUUGCCGUUCCCGAGUCUCAUCGUUCCCCUCGUUCUGCUUCUUCUGCCGCUCUCGCGCCCGGCGUCGGUGGUGACCCAUCUCCCCGGCUUCCAUGGCCGCCUUCCCUUCCACCUGGAGACCGGGUACGUCGGCGUGGACGAGGAGACGGGGGCGGAGCUCUUCUACUACUUCGUGGAGUCCGAGAGGAGCCCCGAAACGGACCCCCUGAUCCUGUGGAUGACGGGUGGGCCCUUCUGCUCUGGCAUGAUUUUCUUCGAAGUUGGUCCUAUGAAAUUUGUGUUGGCACCGUAUAAUGGUAGUUUGCCACAGUUGACCUAUAAUCCCUAUUCAUGGUCCAAGACAGCAAGCAUCACCUUGUUGGACUCACCAGUUGGUACUGGUUUCUCGUACGCUCGUGAUGUCAAAGGUUAUCACGAUAUUGGGGAUUUUUCCUUUUCUAUGCAUGUCGUGAUAUUUCUCAACAAGUGGUUUACCGACCACCCACACUACCAAUCCAAUCCUUUCUUUGUUGGAGGAAGUUCAUAUGCUGGAAAGAUGUCUCCAAUUAUUGCACAACACAUUUCGCAAGAAAUCGAACUGGGGAAGCAACCCAGGAUUAAUCUCAAGGGCUAUGUAGUCGGCAACCCUGUUACAGGCUCAGAUUAUGAUGACAAUUUCAGAGUACCAUAUGCUCAUGGUGUUGGGAUUAUAUCCGAUCAACUAUAUGAGGCUGCAAUUUUGAAUUGUAAAGGAAGCUAUAUAAGACCGACAAACAAAAUGUGUGUCAGGGUGCUAAACACAUUUCAAAAUUCAUACCGUUACUACCUAUGUAAUAUUUGGGCGAACGAUGAUUCCACGAGAGAAGCUCUUGGGUGA
rnacentral:rRNA from 1 species